rnacentral:rRNA from 1 species
GACGAACGCUGGCGGCGCGCCUAACACAUGCAAGUCGAACGGAGUCAAGAGGAGCUUGCUUUUCUUGACUUAGUGGCGAACGGGUGAGUAACGCGUGAGUAACCUGCCCUGGAGUGGGGGACAACAGUUGGAAACGACUGCUAAUACCGCAUAAGCCCACGGAUCUGCAUGGAUCUGCGGGAAAAGGAUUUAUUCGCUCUAGGAUGGACUCGCGUCCAAUUAGCUAGUUGGUGAGGUAACGGCCCACCAAGGCGACGAUUGGUAGCCGGACUGAGAGGUUGAACGGCCACAUUGGGACGAGGACACGGCCCAGACUCCUACGGAAGGCGGCAGGGGGGAUAUUGCACAAUGGGGGAAACCCUGAUGCAGCGACGCCGCGUGGAGGAAGAAGGUUUUCGGAUUGUAAACUCCUGUCGUCAGGGACGAUAAUGACGGUACCUAACAAGAAAGCACCAGCUAACUACGUG